UUAACUAUUAUAUAGUACUCAGACGACACUAAUAUUCAGGGUUUUGGGUCCUCUGGCGGGCGCUUACCAGCCGGGGCCGGUAGUCGGGCCGGAGCCUAACGGCCCGCCAAAGCAACAAAGUAAUAAUAACAUAGGGUGGGAGAUCUACCCGGUAGGGCAUGAACUCUGUAAUGAUCCCUCCGCAGGUUCACCUACGGAGA
rnacentral:misc_RNA from 1 species